rnacentral:rRNA from 1 species
AGAUGAGCUUGCGCCACAUUAGUUUGUUGGUGGGGUAAUGGCCUACCAAGACGAUGAUGUGUAGCUGGACUGAGAGGUCGAACAGCCACAUUGGGACUGAGACACGGCCCAAACUCCUACGGGAGGCAGCAGUAGGGAAUUUUCGGCAAUGGAGGAAACUCUGACCGAGCAACGCCGCGUGAACGAUGAAGUAUUUCGGUAUGUAAAGUUCUUUUAUUGAAGAAGAAAAAAUAGUGGAAAAACUAUCUUGACGUUAUUCAAUGAAUAAGCCCCGGCUAACUAUGUGCCAGCAGCCGCGGUAAGACAUAGGGGGCGAGCGUUAUCCGGAAUUAUUGGGCGUAAAGGGUGCGUAGGCGGUUAGGAAAGUCUAUAAUUUAAUUUCAGUGCUUAACGCUGUCUUGUUAUAGAAACUACCUUGACUAGAGUUAGAUAGAGGCAAGCGGAAUUCCAUGUGUAGCGGUAAAAUGUGUAAAUAUAUGGAGGAACACCAGAAGCGUAGGCGGCUUGCUGGGUCUUGACUGACGCUGAGGCACGAAAGCGUGGGUAGCAAACAGGAUUAGAUACCCUGGUAGUCCACGCCGUAAACGAUGAGUACUAAGUGUCGGGAUAAAACUCGGUACUGAAGUUAACACAUUAAGUACUCCGCCUGAGUAGUACGUACGCAAGUAUGAAACUUAAAGGAAUUGACGGGACUCCGCACAAGCGGUGGAUCAUGUUGUUUAAUUCGAAGAUACACGAAAAAUCUUACCAGGUCUUGACAUGCUCUGCAAAGCUAUAGAAAUAUAGUGGAGGUUAUCAGGGACACAGGUGGUGCAUGGUUGUCGUCAGUUCGUGUCGUGAGAUGUUAGGUUAAGUCCUAAAACGAGCGCAACCCUUGUCGUUAGUUACCAGCACGUAAUGGUGGGCACUUUAACGAGACUGCCAAUUAAACAUUGGAGGAAGGUGAGGAUUACGUCAAAUCAUCAUGCCCCUUAUGAUCUGGGCUACAAACGUGAUACAAUGGCUGUUACAAAGAGUAGCUGAAGCGCGAGUUUUUAGCCAAUCUCAAAAAAGCAGUCUCAGUUCGGAUUGAAGUCUGUAACUCGACUUCAUGAAGU